GAUGAACGCUGGCGGCGUGCCUAAUACAUGCAAGUCGAGCGAACAGAUAAGGAGCUUGCUCCUUUGACGUUAGCGGCGGACGGGUGAGUAACACGUGGAUAACCUACCUAUAAGACUGGGAUAACUUCGGGAAACCGGAGCUAAUACCGGAUAACAUAUUGAACCGCAUGGUUCAAUAGUGAAAGGCGGCUUGCUGUCACUUAUAGAUGGAUCCGCGCCGUAUUAGCUAGUUGGUAAGGUAACGGCUUACCAAGGCAACGAUACGUAGCCGACCUGAGAGGGUGAUCGGCCACACUGGAACUGAGACACGGUCCAGACUCCUACGGGAGGCAGCAGUAGGGAAUCUUCCGCAAUGGGCGAAAGCCUGACGGAGCAACGCCGCGUGAGUGAUGAAGGUCUUCGGAUCGUAAAACUCUGUUAUCAGGGAAGAACAAAUGUGUAAGUAACUGUGCACAUCUUGACGGUACCUGAUCAGAAAGCCACGGCUAACUACGUG
rnacentral:rRNA from 1 species